rnacentral:tRNA from 1 species
UGGCUCAACUGUUAAGAGCACUGGCUGCUCUUCCAGAGGACCUGGGUUCAAUUCCCAG